UACGUAGGCAGCAAGCGUUGUUCGGAGUUACUGGGCGUAAAGGGUGUGUAGGCGGUUCCUUAAGUUUGAUGUGAAAUCUCCCGGCUUAACCGGGAGGGUGCGGUGAAUACUGAGGGACUAGAGUACGGGAGAGGAAAGUGGAAUUCCUGGUGUAGCGGUGAAAUGCGUAGAUAUCAGGAGGAACACCGGUGGUGUAGACGGCUUUCUGGACCGUAACUGACGCUGAGACACGAAAGCGUGGGUAGCAAACAGG
rnacentral:rRNA from 1 species